rnacentral:rRNA from 1 species
GACGAACGCUGGCGGCGUGCCUAAUACAUGCAAGUAGAACGCUGAAGGAGGAGCUUGCUUCUCUGGAUGAGUUGCGAACGGGUGAGUAACGCGUAGGUAACCUGCCUGGUAGCGGGGGAUAACUAUUGGAAACGAUAGCUAAUACCGCAUAAGAGUAGAUGUUGCAUGACAUUUGCUUAAAAGGUGCAAUUGCAUCACUACCAGAUGGACCUGCGUUGUAUUAGCUAGUUGGUGGGGUAACGGCUCACCAAGGCGACGAUACAUAGCCGACCUGAGAGGGUGAGCGGCCACACUGGGAAUGAGACACGGCCCAGACUCCUACGGGAGGCAGCAGGAGGGAAUCUUCGGCAAUGGACGGAAGUCUGACCGAGCAACGCCGCGGGAGGGAAGAAGGUUUUCGGAUCGUAAAGCUCGGUUGUAAGAGAAGAACGAGUGUGAGAGUGGAAAGUUCACACUGUGACGGUAUCUUACCAGAAAGGGACGGCUAACUACGUG